rnacentral:rRNA from 1 species
GAUGAACGCUGGCGGCGUGCCUAACACAUGCAAGUCGAGCGGAGAUCCGGGAAGUAGCAAUACGGACUGGAUUUCAGCGGCGGACGGGUGAGUAACACGUGAGCAAUCUGCCUUCAGCUGGGGAAUAACAUUGUGAAAACAGUGCUAAUACCGCAUGACAUCCGACUGGGACAUCCCGGACGGAUCAAAGGAGAAAUCCGGGCAGGAGAUGAGCUCGCGUCCGAUUAGCUGGUUGGUGAGGUAACGGCCCACCAAGGCGACGAUCGGUAGCCGAACUGAGAGGUUGAUCGGCCACAUUGGGACUGAGACACGGCCCAGACUCCUACGGGAGGCAG